GCCGCUAUAGCUCAGUUGGUAGAGCGUUCGACUUGUAAUCGGAGGGCCGAGGGUUCAAAUCCUUCUGGCGGCACCA
rnacentral:tRNA from 1 species